rnacentral:rRNA from 1 species
CCCUUAGAUGUUCUGGGCCGCACGCGCGCUACACUGACUGGUGCAACAAGUGUCGCUCCUUGGCCGAUAGGCCUGGGCAAUCUUUGAACGCCAGUCGUGAUGGGGAUAGAUUCUUGCAAUUUUUGAUCUUCAACGAGGAAUUCCUAGUAAACGCGAGUCAUCAACUCGCAUUGAUUACGUCCCUGCCCUUUGUACACACCGCCCGUCGCACCUACCGAUUGAAUGGUCCGGUGAACCCUCCGGAUCGGCCCGCGCCAACGCAAGUUGCGCAAAGGCCGAGAAGUUGGGUAAACCUUACCAUUUAGAGGAAGGUGAAGUCGUAACA